UGGGGAAUAUUGCACAAUGGGCGCAAGCCUGAUGCAGCAACGCCGCGUGAACGAUGAAGGUCUUCGGAUCGUAAAGUUCUGUUGCAGGGGAAGAUAAUGACGGUACCCUGUGAGGAAGCCCCGGCUAACUUCGUGCCAGCAGCCGCGGUAAUACGAAGGGGGCUAGCGUUGUUCGGAUUUACUGGGCGUAAAGCGCACGUAGGCGGACUAUUAAGUCAGGGGUGAAAUCCCGGGGCUCAACCCCGGAACUGCCUUUGAUACUGGUAGUCUUGAGUUCGAGAGAGGUGAGUGGAAUUCCGAGUGUAGAGGUGAAAUUCGUAGAUAUUCGGAGGAACACCAGUGGCGAAGGCGGCUCACUGGCUCGAUACUGACGCUGAGGUGCGAAAGCGUGGGGAGCAAACAGG
rnacentral:rRNA from 1 species